AUAUGUCAGAAACCAGCAUGGCGCUGGUGUAGGAGGGGUUAUAAACUUUCUCACCCCCAGCAUCCUGCAGAACCAGCUGUUGGCCAGGCACUUUUCUUCCCCAGAAUGGUGCCAGCACCUUCUGGAGACAUUCCCGCCAUUCAGCUAGACACAUUUUGUUAUACAUCCCAAGAAAAUGAGUUUCAGGGGAAUUUUAAUACCAGUACCAUCACUUAUUACAUGUACUUUAGUAACUAAAAGUGAAUAAUAACCUGGACAGUGCAUAUGUCUCUCUCCCUGGGCUUCCCCAGCUAAUGCAAGAAAUGAAGACACAGAGCAGUGUGGGAGGUGGCAUAGGUCUCUGUUACCAAACACUGGUACAGAUUUUGUCCAUAUACACUCAGAGUGCAAAAGCACUCUGACCUCCAGCACUUGAGGAGUUGUCCUUGGGAGGGAGGCAGCAGAGAGCUGUGGAUGUGGCACAACUCUUUGCAGCAGCUUCAGAUGAGAGCUGAACCUCCAUUUCUCCUCACUGCCACCUUCCCAGGCCACUUCCUUUUGCCUCAAGAGACGACUACCCUGCUCUCUCUUGACACUUCACCUACAACAUCCCAGGCUGGUGGAGCAGAGCAUUCAGACCCCUGAGGAAAAGGCCAUGAUGCCCCAGCCCACCACCAGGCUCCUGUUGAGAUGGGCGCAGGCAGAGCAAUGCAAGGCUGGGGGAACACAGCUCAGACCAGGCCCAGGUGGAGAGGCCUUCUGCCCAGAUUGGUUCCACUAGAGGAGCAGGGGCAGGUUCCCCUUCUAUCAUUCACCGGGCAGGAAGAACAGAUGUUUGUGACUGUGUUUUGAGCACAGGGCAACCACAAAGGCCACCAGGAGCGUGAAGAAGGCAGUGAAGGGGACAGCCAGCAUCUGCAGCUCAGCUACCAGUGCACUGUAGGAGUGACGGAUUGCUUGGAUUCUUCAAGGCUGUAAACACUUCCCAGCAGGACCAGCCUCUGGGGAGAGCAGCUGAUUAUUUUUGUCUUUUAAGUGAUUUACUGCUGAUAACCCGGCCAAGCUUCAAGCAUUUGAUGGUGGACGAUGGUCAAACACCCAGCAAACAGUGGAGGCUGGAAGGAUACACCCUGUCUUCCAAAACCCAGCCUGACUCCAAGCACACACACACACAGAAAUGCUUUCUUGUAGGUGCUGGGGACCAGCACCCUACUUGCCCUUCUUGGCAAUCCUGCUGGGCACGGCUGCACCCUCAUUGCAGCAUGCCAGGUCAUGCUCAUGAAGCCUGAUGUACUCUGUAAGGUUUUGUAGGAAACAUAACUCUGUGCAAAGCAGUGUGGAUGCAGUCCUUGUCACUCCAGUAUUUCAGCCCUUGCCU
rnacentral:lncRNA from 7 species